rnacentral:rRNA from 1 species
GAUGAACGCUGGCGGCGUGCCUAAUACAUGCAAGUCGAGCGAACAGACGAGGAGCUUGCUCCUCUGACGUUAGCGGCGGACGGGUGAGUAACACGUGGAUAACCUACCUAUAAGACUGGGAUAACUUCGGGAAACCGGAGCUAAUACCGGAUAAUAUAUUGAACCGCAUGGUUCAAUAGUGAAAGACGGUUUUGCUGUCACUUAUAGAUGGAUCCGCGCCGCAUUAGCUAGUUGGUAAGGUAACGGCUUACCAAGGCGACGAUGCGUAGCCGACCUGAGAGGUGAAAGGGCCAACGGGAAGUGAAAAAAGGGCCAGGACCCCAACGGGGGGCGGAAGAGGGAAAUGUUCGCAAAGGGGUAAAAGCGGGAGGAGCAAACGCCGGGUGAGGGAGGAGGUCCUUCGAAUCGAAAAACAUGGUUAUAAGGAAAAAAAAAAUGUGAAAGUAAUAAGCAAGUCUUGAACGGAACCAAUCCAAAAGGCAACGGCAACUACGUG